ensembl:lncRNA
CACAGAAGUAGCUAACAUUAACUUAAAUGUUAGCUACAGGUAGGCCUAACGGUGCAUGGACACUAGAUAAGAGAUAAAUUGCCGCGUGUCGCUCAGGUCGCACAUUGUGACUCGCUUGUGGGCGUGCUGGCAGCAUGUGGCAGCAUGUUCGAUUAUACCUUGUAACUGGAGAAUCCUUCAAAACGAUUGCCUACAGUUAAUAUAUAGGGCACUGCAAGGUUGGGUGACCUGGGACUGCCUCCUGGGGGAAUUCAGGUGUGUGAAGGCUACCUGUGUCCUGCAUUACUUGAUAAGGAUGGACACGAGGACCAGGAGGGGAUGUGCAGCUUGCCGCCGUGUGCCAGAGUAGAAGUCUGCUGCUCUGUGAGAUGUUUCAAGGAUGGGGUCUAACAACGCAGCAAGAGGGGAGAUCUUCACCUCCUACUUCUUCGAAGAUGUUGCUGUUCCCUGGUAACACCAUUGACUACACUAUGCACAACCAAAGGCUCUUUUAAGAGCCAUUGACAUUGCAAUAAGAGUAUUCUUCCAUUUACUUAACGAUGUCAACAGCAGUUAUUCAAUUCCCAGUUUCUCUCCCCUUGAUUUCAACUUCUCAGAUGAGGGUGCUGUUUAGCCACGGGUGUGAUGUCUGUACAGAAACAAAACAGGCUAUUUUAAAUCACCCAUAUUGAUUUUUUUUUUUUAACAAUUAGAUACGCUAUAACCCACACACUCAUGUAUCAAUAUGAUUGUUGGAUUGUGUUGUGCAGUAAGCAGGCUUAGGUGUAUAACUGUGGCUCCUUCCACCUUCAAAAAAUAGGCAAGAGGGCCAACCAUGGAGAAUAGUUAUAUCAGCUGUGUCAGUGAACCCCUCCCACAUCUGAACUGGCUACAUAGAGGGCACAGCAUGAUCAGAGAUAUGUUUUGAUGUGAGAGGGGAUGCCAACCCCCAGUCCUAUCAUCGCCACCUCACCUGCUUUUAAGAUAACCUUUGGGCUGUCGAGUGAUACUUAUGUAAUUGUGAUGAACUAAGAAUAUUUAGGUAGCACUGUGAUUCAUUAAUCAUAUGCUGCCUUCCCUGCUCCUAUGUUUUACCUCUUUCCCUUUUACACCUCUCCCACCACCUCUUUCUUUAUAAUGCACAACAGAUGUGCAUUGAAGUACAGAUUGAACUUGAAUUUAUAACAUUAACAUUAUAAUAUUUAUAAUGCAUGUAUUUAUAACACUUGGAUAAUGAGAU